CCUACGGGGGGCAGCAGUGGGGAAUAUUGGACAAUGGGGGCAACCCUGAUCCAGCCAUGCCGCGUGUGUGAAGAAGGUCUUCGGAUUGUAAAGCACUUUAAGUUGGGAGGAAGGGCUUACGGCUAAUACCCGUUAAGUUUUGACGUUACCAACAGAAUAAGCACCGGCUAACUUCGUGCCAGCAGCCGCGGUAAUACGAAGGGUGCAAGCGUUAAUCGGAAUUACUGGGCGUAAAGCGCGCGUAGGUGGUUCGUCAAGUUGGAAGUGAAAGCCCUGGGCUCAACCUAGGAAUUGCUUUCAAAACUGGCGGGCUAGAGUACGGUAGAGGGUAGUGGAAUUUCCUGUGUAGCGGUGAAAUGCGUAGAUAUAGGAAGGAACAUCAGUGGCGAAGGCGACUACCUGGACUGAUACUGACACUGAGGUGCGAAAGCGUGGGGAGCAAACAGGAUUAGAUACCCUUGUAGUC
rnacentral:rRNA from 1 species